rnacentral:rRNA from 1 species
GAUGAACGCUGGCGGCGUGCCUAAUACAUGCAAGUCGAGCGAACAGACGAGGAGCUUGCUCCUCUGACGUUAGCGGCGGACGGGUGAGUAACACGUGGAUAACCUACCUAUAAGACUGGGAUAACUUCGGGAAACCGGAGCUAAUACCGGAUAAUAUAUUGAACCGCAUGGUUCAAUAGUGAAAGACGGUUUUGCUGUCACUUAUAGAUGGAUCCGCGCCGCAUUAGCUAGUUGGUAAGGUAACGGCUUACCAAGGCAACGAUGCGUAGCCGACCUGAGAGGGUGAUCGGCCACACUGGAACUGAGACACGGUCCAGAAUCCUACGGGAGGCAGCAGUAGGGAAUCUUCCGCAAUGGGCGAAAGCUUGACGGAGCAACGCCGCGUGAGUGAUGAAGGUCUUCGGAUCGUAAAACGCUGUUAUUAGGGAAGAACAAAUGUGUAAGUAACUAUGCAAGUCUUGACGGUACCUAAUCAGAAAGCCACGGCUAACUACGU